rnacentral:misc_RNA from 1 species
AGCUGCGGCACGCUGCGAUCUUUUGAUCUUUUGAUCUUUUGAUCUUUUGGUCUUUGAAAUCAAGAUCAAAAGAUCGCAGCGUGCCGCAGCU